GACAUCCUUUGAUUGGUCCCCUUACGGUUCCCUUGAGAGCACGACGGAUACACUUGGCGAGGACUUGAAGACGACACGUUGGGGAGGUCCGACUGCUGUGCGGAGGCGGCCGCGCUGAGUGUGGCGAGACAGAAAAUGGAAGGUUGGGCAGGCCGCGAUAACGACGACGCGGUGCGUUCAGGCGACCGGGCGUCACCGCUGGGACGGGAAUGACAGACGGUUGGCUUUGCCGUGGAGCCUAAUGAGCAGCUCUGCUUUAGCAGCUCCCAGGGGUCUGGCCGAGUGAAAGAUGCCAGCAGCCGGAGUCUUGUUGGCCGGCGCCAUUCCCAGCUGCAUUGGCUCAGCCUACAAAAAAUGUUCCGCUCUUUAUCUGGCAGCCUCAUGUCUGGUCCGAAACGUCGCGCUCUACAUCGCCUUCCUUGUCUGUCUGCCAGGGUUGACAUCACCCAUCAGCCCCCCCCCCACCCCCUCCCACCAUCCCCACCUCUUUGAAUCAUGGAAUUGAACAAGGUCUGGAGGAGGAAAAAAAAUAACAUGGAUCUGUUAAAACACAUUCACUGCCAUUGACGGCUAUGAAAGUCAAAUAGCCGCGUUAGCAUGGAAGGCUAGCAGUAAACUAAAAGCUUUGGUGUAGGUGUAGUUUGUUGGCCUGCUACCAUGUUGUCAUGCUUAAAGAUUUAUUGCCAUGGACAGGAAAAUGCUCCUGGAGGCCUAUCAUUCCUAAAACGAUUCCAAGACUCAAAUCUGCAAAAAAAUAUAUACGCCCAUAAUAAAUCUUAAAAGAGUUUGCUGACAUAUUGCCAAAAAGGAGUUUCCAAGUGGAUCCAUUCAUUAACUAAGCCCGAAGCAAUUGCUCAUUUUUUUUUUCCUCACAGGAGGAAGUCACUCCCUUAUGAAAACUAGCAAUAAACAGUUUCUUAUCUCCAAAAUCCGAUGACGACACCCCCAAGAAAGGGCAGACAAAUCUCAGGAUAGGCACGUAUAGGUCAAGUUUUCAGGGGAUCCCUGUUUGAGUACAAAAAAAAAAAAAAUCACAAGUAGGUGAGUAGGUACUAGUUCCGAGGUCCCUCCACAUCCUGACCACCAGCACUUCCAGCUACUUCCCUCGUGAACAAUACAAACGGAAACCAGCAGACAUUCCAAUAGCUUCUUCCCUCUCGCAAUUAACUUAAACAGCUAACUUACAAUUACACUCUUAUUAUUAUUUUAUUGAUUGUUGUAUUUAUUAAUUUCAU